UUUGUUUAGGGAAGUAAGAUCCCUGGACGAUGAUCAGGUAGAAAGGUCAGGAGUGGAAGUACAAGGAUGUAUGGAGCGGACUGAUACUAAUCGAUCGAGGACUUAACCAAU
rnacentral:rRNA from 1 species